CGUGGCCCCGCGCCUUCCGGCGGCGCCGCCCGCGCCGGGGGACGGGGACGGGGCCCGGCAGCCGCCGCCCGGCUCCCGGCGCCUUCCCCCGCUGUAAAAGCCCGAUUGCUUUCAGUCAGCACACAAAGAAAGCCUUUACUACUGCAGCAAAUGGGAAGAGAUGAAGAAACUGAGGAUGUUCAGUACCAUAUGGUAUCUUCCUUUCUGAAUAGAAGCUUUUCCCACAGUCAACCCACAGAAGUUUUAAUUGGAAGCCAAGCUGUCUAGAGCUCAGUAACUCACCGUAUAAAGCUUGUGUCGCUCAGAAGCGACCAUGUCAGCCAAUCUCAGGCACUCCUGAUACUGUCCAGUACUGUGUAACACCGUGUGCAGUAAAAAGCACAUCAUCGGCAGACACAGCUUGCGCAGCAAAAUCAUCUGAUGUGUUCGUUCAGGGUCAUCCUCAGCAUCCUUAGCAUAGCAAAACAUGAAUGAGUAUUAUGAGUAUUUACCUUUAAAAGGCAACUCCACACAAUCAUGCAAUUAGCAGUAUCAGAGGCAAAAAACUGGGCUAACCAGCCUAGACUGGCUUGCCAGAUCUGAUCUAUAAAGUAAGUGAAGGGGAAGCAAUCUGAAACCGGUCACAGCAAGGCCAGAGAGAAUUACUGCUGAGUAAACACAAGGACGUCAAGCUAAAGAUGACAAAGGUACAGCUGGGUACGAUCCAGCGUUUGUGGUUUAUGCCAUGAUAUAAAAGUUCAUUUUACCUCUCUAACAUCAACCAUCCAUCCUCCAUCAACAAACAGCAACACGUUGUACAUUUUCUCUUUCACAUCAGCUGUAAGAGCAUCCAAGAGACCUUUCCAAAUACCGUAGUCCACCUGGCAAAGAAAAAAAAAAUUUGCUGCGAGACAGGAUAAUUUCCGAGGCUAUUUUAACACAGAACCUUCACCUUGCAUAUAGCAGCUAGCACAGCUCUAAUUCAAAUUACAAUCUUGAGCCAAUGGCUAAAACUUAGCCUGCUGCUAACUGCCAUCACCACUUCAUUCCCUGUACCGAGUAUCAAAAAAUUGUUCAGGAACAGUCAAAGCCACUAGAAGAAGCUAGCUUUAAAUAAUUUAUUCUGUCAUGCUUAUAAAAACAAUACUUGAAUAAACUGAAUAUAGCAUACUCAUACUGGACAGAUAUCCAAAAAGAACUUCUAAAAAAAAGAAAGAAAAAAAACCACCAAAACACAGCAGCAUCUUUCAGAAAUGAAAAUGUGACAAAUAAAACACAAAACAGCCUUCAUCCUCCACUUCUAGGGAAUGGUUAAUAGCAAAAUCAAGUAGUCAGAUGUAUUUAUAACGCUGACACAUAUAAUGAAUAUUUACCAUAUGGUAUUGUAAGUACAGCUGUCACAUAAGAAAGAA